rnacentral:rRNA from 1 species
ACUGAGUGGCGGACGGGUGAGUAACGCGUGGGUAACCUGCCCUGUACAGGGGGACAACAGUUAGAAAUGACUGCUAAUACCGCAUAAGCGCACAGGACCGCAUGGUCCGGUGUGAAAAACUCCGGUGGUAUAAGAUGGACCCGCGUCUGAUUAGCCAGUUGGCGGGGUAACGGCCCACCAAAGCGACGAUCAGUAGCCGACCUGAGAGGGUGACCGGCCACAUUGGGACUGAGACACGGCCCAAACUCCUACGGGAGGCAGCAG